AGAGGUGCCGGAGGAAGAAAUAAUGGAACUAACGGGGGACCAAAUGGAAGAGGUCAACCUAGGAACGCUCCACAAGGAAGUCGUGCGAUAACUUUCCUGGGAACUUGUGGGUAUUGCAAGAAACCUGGACAUACCGAGGCCGGUUGCUGGAGGAAAGCAGGAAAGUGCUUGAAGUGUGGAAGCAGCGAGCACCAAAUUGCCGGUUGCCCGAAAAUACAAGAGGAUAGUACCCUGAAUGAUGAACCAGCCAACAUUAGAGAGAAUAGGCCGAAAGUUCCUACCAGGGUUUACGCUAUAAAUGACCAACCUGUACCUGAUUCUUCGGAAGCCGUGGAAGGUACUCUUCCCAUUUCUCAUCAAUUAGCUAGAGUGUUAAUUGAUCAUAGCGCAACUCAUUCAUUUGUGAACCAAACUUUUCCAUCCGGAGUUAACGUCAAACCUGUUAGAUUACCCUUGACCUUGAAGUUAAAACAUCAAUGGGUAAUAAGAUUUUAAUCAGUAGCUUAACUUAUAAUAACUGUGAAUUCUGGAUUGAAGGGCAUAAAAUACUAGUGGAUCUAAUCAAAUUGGACAUACGAGGUUAUGAUGUUAUUAUAUGAAAGAAUUUUCUAGCUCAUCACCAUGCUAAGCUUGAUUGCAGAACAAAAGUAUUGGAACUUUGGAUUUCCGAAGAAGCAACUUGGGAGUUAGAAGAAGAAAUGCAGAAAAAGUAUUCCGAUUUGUUUCUCAAGAAAGUAAGAAUUUUGAGGACAAAAUUCAUUUUAAGGAGGGGAGGAUGUGAGAACCCUGAAAAUAGACAUAUAAAUAUCAGUGCAUAUUUUAUUUGCAUUUUAAUUCUUUAAUAAAUUUUAGCACUAAGUCCAAUUGUUUUUAAGUAAGUACGUAGAAAUAAACGUUAUGUGCAAAAUAAAAGAAUUGUGCUAAACUACUAAACUUCUUAGUUUUGUUACAUUAACUUCAUAUUUCAAUGGUAAACUAUUUCAUUGAUCUAAUAAUUAAUUUUUUUGAAUUCUAGUAUUGUAAUUAAUUGUUUUGAAAUAAAAGGGUAAAGAUAAUUUCUAUGUAAUAAAUAAUAUAAUUGUGCCAAUAUUGAAUUAUUCGGUUUUGCUAUACUAAAUUAAUAUUUCUUGAGUUGGAUUAAUUCUAUUACUUUAAAAUAAAUUCUUUGAUUUCCGAUAGCUAGUUUUAAUCGUUAAUAAUGUUAAAUGUUUAUAGGAAUUUCCGCGUUAAGAUAAAAAUCAAUGAAUUUUAGAUAAAUAUGAUAUUCCUAUACUAAACAUACUUAAGGCAUGAAAAUUCGAUAAAUUUUGUGUAGGAUAACUUUAAUUCUUGAGAAUAAACAAUUGGAGAUGCGGAUAAUUAAGUUAAUCGCUAUAUAAUGUUAGGAACCUUAAUAUUUAAGUUUAAUCGAUAUUUAUUCGAUAAAAAUGGUUAAGUAUAUUGGGAGGGGUUAUUAGGCGUUCAAAUCACCCUUGAGGAUAAAUUUGAGAAAUUAAGUUGAGAUUAGGAAACCAAGUGAAAAGACCAAAAGACCUUACAAUUCCAUGCGAAACCAAACGACCCUUAUGACAAAUUCCCAUCACCGCAACUUCGACCAAUUGCAUUUUAACCAAUUCGAUACGCAACCUUUCGUAAACCGCGGCACCACAAAACCACUUGAUCAAAUUCACACUACAUCUCACAACCAUUUCAGCCGACUCUUUCUCUGCACAAACCAAAGUCGAAAUCAACUUCACUCCAAAUACCACUCUACUCUUUCAUUCUUGAUUCACAACAAAACCUCAUUUCUUCCCUGCCUUGACCGAGAGCACCGAGAGAGGGAGAGAGCUGCCGGAAACUUCUUGGAUUCAGCCGUGAGUUGGAGCAAAGCCAGGGAAGGGAAUCUGCCGGAAGCUUCACCAAUUCUACCUUCAUCCACAACCCUUUUCAGCCGCAACUCCAAACCAGAAUCACCAUCUGCACUUGGCCGAGAGCUAGGAAGGAAAUUUCUGGAAUUUCGUGUGAAAGAUUGGUUGCUAGCUGAGGUAAUUUCUGGUCUAAAAUAGGUUGAUUAUUAGUUGAUCAAGCUAUAUCAGAGAUUACAUGUUUAGAUUAUACAAUCGGAUGCUGAAAUCAAAACCUUACGAAAAUUUCUGUUUUGAGAAAUUGUUGCUACCGAGACUUGAGGUGUUAUUGCAGCUCCAAUUUUGUUUUGUGUGAUAAUCUGAACACCCAAAUGUCUUUAGCUGAGUAAGAAUUGGAAGAUUAAGACCAUGUAUGAUGAAUUGGGCAUUCGAAUGAAGUGUUAAAGCAGAGAUAAAUUUCUGGGUUAGUUUGGGGUAAGAAAAUUCUGCCGAGAGCCUAGCUUAAUUAUUACAGCUUAACUUGGUUCAAUUUGGUUGCUAUCAAACUGAUUUCUGGUCUGGAUAUGAUAGCUAGUUAAAUUCAGCAGUUGUGCAUGUGAAAUUAAGUGCAAAAUACAGGAAUUAACCAUAGAAAAAAAAUGGUUUGUGACUAAACAAAUGCUGGAAGAAUUUCUGGUUUGGCCGAGAGCUUAGCUUAAAGCUUUGCAACCUGAUUUGGUUUAGUGUUGUUGUUUAAACUUAUAACCAUGAUUAGAUGACUAAUAACAAGUUAAUUAGGCCCUGCAUGUAGUUGAUUAGUAAGUUUUAAAUCAGAGAAAUAAAGGUUAAGAGUACAUUCUGCUUCAAGGCAUGAUCACCCGAGCCCAAGCAGGAAAAUUUCUGGAAAUUUUGAUGUUAAUAAUGAUAGUUUGAACUCAAUUUUGAAAGUGGAAAAUUUUAGUAACUAACUAGGUGUUUAAAAUGUUGAAUUGAGUAACUAACACCAUGUUUAAACCAAGGAAAUUUGAACUAAAGUUGAAUUGUUUGCUGGAAAUCUUUGAAGCCGCAAGCAAGGUUGAACCAGAAAUUUCAGUUUGCCUUUAGAAAGUUUAAAUGGUUUCUGAACAUUUAUUUUAUUGUUUCCUUGGACUAUGAUGGUCUUGAGCUACAUAAGAGAUGCAAAAUUUAAGUGGUUUGGCGAGGAAAUAUUUAAUAUAUUGAAGGAUUGAAUUAAAGAGGUUAGUAUACAAAUGCUGGAAUUUCCUUUGUGAUGGCCGAAGGUUGAGUUGGAAGCUCAACUUAGUUUCGAAAAUUUCCUUCAAAUCAUGAGGGAUGGAAAUGCCUGGAAUAUGUUGUUUUGGAAUUAUAUAAGAAAUGUAUGGAUGGUUUGAAUAAAAACAUUUUGGUGCAAAAAGAGAAAAAGGAGUUUUUCACAUGUGAAAAAUGACAUUUCAGAUUUUUGGAUGUCCCUGACCAAUUUCAGUAAAAUGCUUAUAUCUUGGUGUAGAAAAAUCCGUUUAAGGUGCCGUCAGUGGCAUUUGAAACUAGAAACAUGGGCCUUGGUUCUGUAGAAAUUUUAUAUUUUUCCUCCAUGUGUACGGCUGUACGUUACUCCUCAAAGUAGGCUGUCUUGACUUAAUGUCCUGUUUCUUCAGGAAAAUGAAUUUUGACUUGAAUCGAAUGUUGGGCCUAUCUGUGAUUUGAAUUUCUGAAUUUCAAGUGAAGCUUACAUGCUAAAAUUUUCUGGUAUGUGAAUGGCAUUGAGCCUAGUAAAAUGCUAUGGUGGUAAUCUGAAUUUCUCGAGUUAUUUAAGCGUUAAAUUAGCCGUGACUUUACUCCUUGUUUCUAGUUGAAAUUUUGGUUUGAAAGUGAUUGGUUGCUAUCAAGAGCUAAUGAUUGAUGAAGCUCUUGGCCAUUUGAAUGAUUUUCUAAGUACUACAGGGUGACGAAAGUUAAUUGCUGGAAUGUCUUGGAGGCUUUACUUUUAUUUUAUUUUUAGUUGCUUAUGAUGGGCUUGCUGAAACCAAGUGCUAAUGAUUGAUGAAGCCUUGGUUGAUCAUUUUAUUUUAUUCAGAAAUGCACUUGUUGAAAUCUAGGGCUAAUGAUUGACGAAGCCCUAGUAAUUUGCUAUGUGAUUUUUGUCAUAUUUUGAUCCAUAUUAUAAUUUCGAAACGGAAUCGGAGCUGUGGAAGUUGUAUCGACCUUGCGAACUUGAGUAGCUGUGAUCAAAUUAAUCAGAAAUAUUUUUCCAGCUAGUAUUAUAUUAUAAAACUUUCCAACUCGAUAAUUUCCUUUAGCUCAAACUAGCCUCGAUUAGUAAAUAAGUUAUAUAGCUUUUGAAAAUUCUAAGUCUUAUUUUAAUUCAUUUUCUUUCCUUAAGCUAUAGUUAACUAUAGGAAAAGUUCCAAAAUACGAGUUGUAAUAAUUCUGGGGAAAAGCAUGGGAAACUUGCUCAGCAAGAAACCUUAUUUUAGGGUAAAAUAGUUUUAGUAAUAAUUUUUGCAGGAACCAUAGCUUUAAAGAAAUGUUCAAAGUAACUUUCUAACAUUGAUAUUAAGAGGUUUGUCGACUUAUUUCCAGAAAAUUUAUACUAGUUACCCUUUUUAUAAGGAAAAGUACCUCAAGGAAAAUUAUAAGAAACAUUUCUACUAUUUGUGUCAAGUUUCAAUCUAAGUAGAUUUUUGAAAUUACUAUGGGAAAGUAAACUAGCAAUAUAUUAGAUAAACCUCAAUGUGUUCGAGUCUAAAGACUGAAUAAAAGCUUAUAAUUUCAAUAUUUGAUAUUCUAGGAUAUUGCGAGGAAGCGGAAUUCGAUUCCCAACUUGACAUCUGAACUUCACUCUUGGUGAGUGUCCCUGCUUGUUUUAUGUUAUGUGGUUAAGCGCUUUAUUAACUUGCUAUAUUAUAACUAUGAAGUGGUUUUGACCCAUCGAAGUGAGCAAUGUGUACUUUAUCACACUAGCCUUUCGAGUGGUGACUUGCGUAAAACAUUUUUUUUGUGAAUCAAGUGCUAGACGUAAAGUCGUUGGGUGAAUCCCUCGACGAGUCAAUAAUAAUCAAUCAAGUGCUAGACGUAAAGUCGUUGGGUGAAUCCCUCGACGAGUCAAUAAUAAUAAAUCAAGUGCUAGACGUAAAGUCGUUGGGUGAAUCCCUCGACGAGUCAAUAAUAAUCAAUCAAGUGCUAGACGUAAAGUCGUUGGGUGAAUCCCUCGACGAGUCUAUAAUAAUUCAAAUCACAGAUGCUUAGACGUAAAGUCGUUUGGUGAAAUCCCUACGGACGAAGUCAUAUUAAAAUAUGUAGUUCAGGACGUACCGUCGUUGGGUAAUCCCGCUCUACAGUCUAAGUACACUUGGAGACGGUAUUAAUCGACCUUCCUAUUUGUUUACUUUCAAUCGAUCAAUACGUCGUGUAUUGUUUUAAAUUGAUUGCAAUGUUUUUUUGGAUUGAGGCACCAUUCUGCAGCUUUAGUCCUCACCACGUUUAUUUUUUUUCCGUAUCAAACAGGUUUUCUGGAAUUAAACUGAAAGCUGGAUGCUUACUUAAGUUUUCCUUUUGGAUUGUAUUUGAAUGCUAUAACUUAUUCUGUGGGCUGUAAUGUGUUAUUGAGAUAAUGCACUUUUCUUUUGGGUUGCCACUUGAAACGGGAAAAUGGGUAAACCCUAAUUCGAUUACUUGGCCUGUAAAUUUGUAAUAGAGAUUUAUGUAUUUAUCUACCCGGAUUGGUACGACUUUAUAUUUUGGUACGUAGCACGUGGGAUGUUUAAGAGCCUCGACUGGCUAAUUUAUCUCUGCUAUCUCUGAAGUUAAGUUGGAUGUAAGGAUGAUCUUAUUCGGGAAAAUUUGUUUUGUAACAGAGUAGUUUAUUACUCCAAGGUUUUAGGUUAGAAUGCUUGCAUGAGUCCUGGCGAGAGCUGGGCAGACGGCCCGCCAACCCUUUGGUUCGCCUUAGGGGAAAGUGGGGUCGCCACAGGUGGUAUCAGAGCUCUUAUCGAGCUCGUGCCGGGAGAGGACUCUCGGACUGUGGGGAUUGACUCGUUAAGUGUGGAACAAAAGUUUAUAGUUGGGAUAUUAGACAUGUAUGUUGGGUAGGAAUCUCAAAUAUAGGUAAGUUACUCUUGGGACUGGCCAGCCUGAGGUGUGAAUUAUCCUAUAGUCAGAUUCUUGUACCCGAAUACCAGAUAUUUCAUUAAAUGGUGUAUUUGCAAUUGAAAAGAAUUCAGUAUAUCGCAUUAUGAUGUGACUAGAAAUCAUGACUAAGUUUGGAAAAGUAGGAUUGAAGGAAUCAAGUCUAACUUUUGAAAGUUAAAGGUAAAGAGCCAAUGGUGUGAUCUUGAAGAUUAGUGCCAAUUACGUAUUUAAGAGGAAUUUCUCGAAAAAACCAGACAAUCGGUCUUUCUGAAGAAUGUUUAGGUGCGGGCCUUUUUUAGAUGGCUGCAUUGUGCCAAUAAGGACUUCAAUCUAAUGGGAAGGUUUUUAAGUUGAAUCUAAACUAAGGGUUGAGCUAUUAGUUAUGUGGUUAUAAUAAUCGGUGUAUUAUUGACUUGCUUUCCUUCAUGUUUAUAAAGAUCGAAAUAUGAGUUAUGUGUGAAAAUAUUAAAUGUACCGUGAAUUGUUUGGCUUUUAAAGUUGUAUGAACUUUGGUAUGUGAAUAUAUGCUUUAAGUGUUUUAAAUUUUCUUUCUCUUGGUAUUCAUGUUGACUUCACUUAAUAAUAACAAGUAAAUAAAUAGCAACAUCUUCGCUUGAUCACUUUAUUUUUAUCAAUAGGCAUAACUAGGCUAUGGAUCUACAAGUUAGAAAUAGAGGACGUGGGAGACCAACUAGGCAACACCCCGAGGGUGGUAGUGAUAGGGAACCUGAGGCCAACCCAGGCCAUGGUCAGGGAAACGUGGCCGGAGAUCCAGUGGCCACCGCAAUCAAUAGAAUAACUGAUGUGUUAGAGCGCAUGACUGAGCAUCAAGCCCAUGGAGCGGUGCAUCAGCAAGGAGGCCCAAUCGAUUACGAGGAUCGGGCAUUAGAGAGAUUCCUGAAGUUUGGACCUCCUAAGUUCUACGGAGGCCCAGAACCUGAGGUAGCCGAAGGUUGGUGGGAAAGGAUCUCUGAUAUUUUUGCCGCUCUAAAUUAUACGGAAGAGAGGCAAGUGACUUUUGCAGCAUUCCAGUUUGAAGGAGCUGCUCGUUCCUGGUGGAACCUAAUUAGGGUCAAUUGGGACAGGAAUCAUAUUCCCAGGACCUGGGCGAACUUCACAAGGGAGUUCAACGCCAAAUUUCUUCCACCUCUCAUUCAAGAAAAGAGAGAGGACGACUUCAUAAAAUGUAAACAAGGGGCGAUGAGUGUCGCCGAAUAUGAAGUCCAGUUCACAAAAUUGUCCCGAUUUGCUCCUGAACUGAUAGCCACGGAACAAAGGCGUGUCCGGAGGUUUGUGCAGGGACUAAACGUGGAAAUUCAGGAGGGAUUAGCUGCUGUUCGGAUAGACACAUUUGCUGAUGCUGUAGAAAGAGCUCAAAGGGUUGAAGUUGCUAGAACUCAAGUAAAAACUUACCAGGCCAAGAAAAGAUUUGCACCUAGCAGCAGUCGGGAGCCGACUUAUACAAAUGCUCCACUGGCCAAAGUGGGUCGAGGAACUGGUGCCAGAGGUGCCGGAGGAAGAAAUAAUGGAACUAACGGGGGACCAAAUGGAAGAGGUCAACCUAGGAACGCUCCACAAGGAAGUCGUGCGAUAACUUUCCUGGGAACUUGUGGGUAUUGCAAGAAACCUGGACAUACCGAGGCCGGUUGCUGGAGGAAAGCAGGAAAGUGCUUGAAGUGUGGAAGCAGCGAGCACCAAAUUGCCGGUUGCCCGAAAAUACAAGAGGAUAAUACCCUGAAUGAUGAACCAGCCAACAUUAGAGAGAAUAGGCCGAAAGUUCCUACCAGGGUUUACGCUAUAAAUGACCAACCU
rnacentral:lncRNA from 1 species